rnacentral:rRNA from 1 species
GCAACUCGCCUGCAUGAAGCUGGAAUUGCUGUAAUCGCGGAUCAGCAUGCCGCGGUGAAUACGUUCCCGGGCCCUUGUACACACCGCCCGUCACACCAUGAGAGUCGGGAACACCCGAAGUCCGUAGUCUAACCGCAAGGAGGGCGCGGCCGAAGGUGGGUCCGGUAAUUGGGGUGAAGUCGUAACAAGGUAUC